ACCAAGGCAGGAAAACCUUUGAAAAGUACAUCCCUGAUCUCAACUAUAGAUAAUGAAGCAGGACCUCUGACUACUUAUCAGAUGGGUCAAGUGUUUGCUCAUGAAAUCGGUCACAAUUUUGGGAGCCACCACGACCCCUACACGUCACAGUGUUCACACUCGGAGAACGAAGGCGGACAGUUUAUCAUGUGGUACAAAGUUGGCGUGGGAACACAGCCUAACAAUAAACUGUUCUCACCAUGCUCUUUAAAAUCCAUUGGGGCAACAUUGCAGAACAAAUACUUAAGUCACUGUCUCAUUAGUAAG
rnacentral:sRNA from 1 species